ensembl:lncRNA
GCAAUGAAGCCUCGUGAAGUGAGCAGGUGAAGGCGAAAUGGUACUGGUUAGAAAGUUUGGUGCCAUACGAGGGGGGUGAGGGGGAAUUCUUGAAUAUCAGGGAACCCACUUUACUGCAGGCCCCAUCAGCCUGACAGGUAAAACUCAAACUAUAUGUCCCAAUGAUAGUAACUAUUUUAAAACUCAAAGUUUUCUGGACUCUGCCGAUGGCCCAGUAGUCGGGACUUUGCCUUCCAAAUGUGGGGGUACAGGUUGCAUUCCUAGUCAGGGAGCUGAGAUCCCAUAUGUGGGGGACAGGUUGGAUCCCUGGUCAGGGAGCUGAGAUCCCAUAUGUGGGGGUACACGUUGGAUCCCUGGUCAGGGAGCUGAGAUCACAUAUGUGGAGGACAGGUUGGAUCCCUGGUCAGGGAGCUGAGAUCACAUAUGUG